UACGAAGGGGGCUAGCGUUGUUCGGAAUUACUGGGCGUAAAGCGCGCGCAGGCGGUCCUUCAAGUCAGAGGUGAAAGCCCAGAGCUCAACUCUGGAACGGCCUUUGAGACUAGAGGACUUGGGUACGGGAGAGGUGAGUGGAAUUCCGAGUGUAGAGGUGAAAUUCGUAGAUAUUCGGAAGAACACCAGUGGCGAAGGCGGCUCACUGGCCCGGUACUGACGCUGAGGUGCGAAAGCGUGGGGAGCAACAGGG
rnacentral:rRNA from 1 species